rnacentral:rRNA from 1 species
GAUGAACGCUGGCGGCGUGCCUAACACAUGCAAGUCGAACGAGGCAAAUAAGUUGAAGUUUUCGGAUGGAUUCUUAUUUACCGAGUGGCGGACGGGUGAGUAACGCGUGGGUAACCUGCCUCACACUGGGGGAUAACAGUCAGAAAUGACUGCUAAUACCGCAUAAGCGCACGGAACCGCAUGGUUUUGUGUGAAAAACUCCGGUGGUAUGAGAUGGACCCGCGUCUGAUUAGCUAGUUGGAGGGGUAACGGCCCACCAAGGCGACGAUCAGUAGCCGACCUGAGAGGGUGACCGGCCACAUUGGGACUGAGACACGGCCCAA